rnacentral:lncRNA from 1 species
CUUGGAAGGACCUGUGGGUGUAGGGCAGAUUAAAGGAGUGACAAUCAUGGACCUACUAAUAAGUCUAUGCCCACAGUGUGGGUGGCCAGCAUGUGUUCAAAGGUGAUGGUCAGCAAGGCUCUGAAGGCCUUCUAAGGGCUCAUCCUUGCCCACUGCUUUGCCUGGCUAACUCCUUUUAUUCAUCUUUUAGGUCUCAGCCUAGACAUCAACUUUCCCUGAAGCCUUUCUUGAUGGCCAUAUCUGGGCCAGGUGCCCCAUCUGUGGGCUCUGGAAAAACCCCAUUUGUAAAUAAUAUGGUAACCAUUCAUUUGUCUGUCUCCGCCCUGGACUGUAAGCUCCACAAGGGCAGGGAUGUAUCUCUCCAGUGUGCCUAGCCAGAGAUUGGGAAAGAGCAGGCCCUUCAUAAAUACUUAUUGAUCAAUACUUGUUGAUGGAAGGAAAUGGGGAGCCACUGAAGGAUUCUAAGCAAGGUCUCAGAUGGCAUCAAUCUAGCUGGAGGUAGGAAGGAGGCCAGUGACCAGACAAUGGCAGUGGCCAGGGUAAAAAUGAUGCAGGCCUGAGCUAAGCUGGGAGUAGGGGGAAUGGAAAGGAGAAAACAGGUGGGUGUAAGAGAGUGGGAGAAGCCAACAUUAAAGGCUUGAUGUUUGGAUAACUAUGGAUGAAGCCAUCCUAGAAAUCAUGAAAGGGUUACCCAACGUGCCUGGCCUCUUGUAUUUUUCCUGCUUCCCUUUAGACUAUAGGCUCUGUGAGGGGAGACCUUGUCUGCUCUAGUCUCCAUUUAAUUUCCAGAAUACCUGCUGAAGGAAGGACUCUGCUUGGCUUCAGGGAGUGGGGGCUCCGAGGGCUCCUAUCUGAUUUGUGUGUGGCCAUAGCCUGAAACACAGGUGGGGGUUGCGGUGCCCAGGUGUGCUAGGUUUCUGAUUUUCCCUUUAACCUACGAGGUUAGAGACAAGGUGUAAAAUGCAAAUGCCCUUGGGAG